rnacentral:rRNA from 1 species
CUGCGAGUGAAGCGGCAAAAGCUCAAAUUUGAAAUCGGCGUCCUUUGCGGGCAUCGAGUUGUAAUUUGGAGGGAUAACUUCGGUACAGACUACAUCGUAAGUUCCUUGGAACAGGACGUCAUAGAGGGUGAGAAUCCCGUGUCUUGGUGUUUGGCUGUGCCAUGUGAAGUGUCUCCGACGAGUCGAGUUGUUUGGGAAUGCAGCUCAAAAUGGGUGGUAAAUUUCAUCUAAAGCUAAAUAUUGGCGAGAGACCGAUAGCGCACAAGUAGAGUGAUCGAAAGAUGAAAAGCACUUUGAAAAGAGAGUUAAAAAGUACGUGAAAUUGUUGAAAGGGAAGCGCUUGCGACCAGACUCGAUCUUUGGUGAUCAGCCGGGCUUCGGUCCGGUGCCCUUACCAUUGAUUGGGCCAGCAUCGGUUCCGACGGCGGGAUAAAAGGAGGAGGAAUGUGGCUCCCUUCGGGGAGUGUUAUAGCCUUCUUCACAAUGCCGCCAGUUGGGACCGAGGACCGCGCUAGGAUGCUGGCGUAAUGGUCUUAAGCGACCCGUCUUGAAACACGGACCAAGGAGUCUAACAUCUAUGCGAGUGUUCGGGUGGAAAACCCUUGCGCGUAAUGAAAGUGAACGGAGGUGUGAACCCUUUACCGGGUGCAACAUCGACCGGUCCUGAUGUCUUCGGAAGGAUCUGAGUAAGAGCAUAGCUGUUGGGACCCGAAAGAUGGUGAACUAUGCCUGAAUAGGGUGAAGCCAGAGGAAACUCUGGUGGAGGCUCGCAGCGGUUCUGACGUGCAAAUCGAUCGUCAAAUUUGGGUAUAGGGGCGAAAG